rnacentral:pre_miRNA from 2 species
UAUGGCUUUCUAUUCCUAUGUGAUUUUCUUCUGCCGUGUCACAUAGGGUUCAAAGCCAUUGG